UACGUAGGUGGCAAGCGUUGUCCGGAUUUAUUGGGUUUAAAGGGUGCGUAGGCGGCUUUGUAAGUCAGUGGUGAAAUAUGGCAGCUCAACUGUCAGGGUGCCAUUGAUACUGCAGAGCUUGAGUACAGAUGAGGUAGGCGGAAUUGACGGUGUAGCGGUGAAAUGCUUAGAUAUCGUCAAGAACACCGAUAGCGAAGGCAGCCUUACUGGGCCGAUACUGACGCUGAGGAGCGAAAGCGUGGGGAGCGAACAGG
rnacentral:rRNA from 1 species